GUAAUAUGCUCUGGCCCAUCGGACUGGAGCUCACAGAGGAGCCCUGUGCUAUAUUGCAUGCUUUUCAUGGCUUCCAGGUUCCAACAGGCCUUCUGAGCAGGGCCUUUAGAAGAAAGCUACCAUUGUGGUUAUGCCAUCCUCUCAAGUGGCCAGGACAAAGCCCUGCCACCUAGGAAGGUCUUCCUGCUUUAAUAAAUUCAUAAAUAUUCUUAUGCAUGCACAGUUCUAAUUAGUAUGGGUGGCAUUAGCUACUUUUCUUAUUUCUGUGGCAAAGGACCUGACACAAACAACCUAAGACAAACCAGGCUUAUGCAGAGCAGGCUUCGAGGUUGUAGUUGUCACGGAGGGAAGGCCUGGCGGCAGGGAUGUGAAGCAACUGAUCACACUGCAUCCCCAGUCUGCAAGCAGAGUGGAUUCUCGGCUCCUUCUCAUUCAAGUCUCAGCACCAGCUGAGGAAAUGGUGCCACUCACAUUCGGGGUUAUUCUUCAUACAUCAGUUAACCUCAUCAAGAAACUCCCUCAGAGAUAAGCGCAACGUUGUGUUUCUGUGGCAACACUAAAUCGCAUCAAGUUGGCAUUCGAAAUUAAGAUCCAUGAAUUGUUUGGGUUUUGUUUUUGUUUUACUGUGUUUUUCUGAUUAUUGUUAGAGAACAUUGAGAAAAUAUGGACUUUUAGAAAUCUUGUCUGUCCGUGUCAGGUGACUUUAGUUUCCAAACUGCAAACUUUUCCUCUAUAAUCUCCCUUCAAAACCAAAAGAAAAGUACUGGUGGUGAAGGGGUGAGUUUAGGAGUCACACAGCCUUGAGCAAAUUAAUUAACCACACUGAACUCAACUUCCCAAGGUUAGUGCUAGAUUUGUCAAUCAAGUAACUGUUGACAUUUGGAAAAUGUUCCUUGCAGAGGCUAUAGGAUAUUGAGCAAUAUUUGUGACCUUUAGCUUGUUAGAUGCCACUCACACACCCAUAUGCCCAACCGAAAAUGUCUCCAGGUAUUUCCACUUCGCUGCUGGGGAAAGUUAGGG
rnacentral:lncRNA from 1 species